UCUUCAGAUGAUGAUCCCAAGCCUUCUGGCGAUCUCUUAUAAAGAAAGCCCUCCAUAAUAAAUUGAAAAGGGUCCUUUGGGGAAAAGUUUUCCCUUUGCUAAGAUGAAGCCGGGGAAGGUUUUCCGGUUUAUCCCGGAGGGCUUGUAGCUCAGUUGGUUAGAGCGCGCGCUUGAUAAGCGUGAGGUCGGAGGUUCAAGUCCUCCCAGGCCCACCAAUCAUUCUAUCAAUCUAUAAGCGCUUGUGGAAAUUGCUCAUAGAAAACUUUCUUUAUUCAUUUAUGAAAAAUCUCCUUAUAGAGAGAGACGCUUUUCCCUUUGGGUUUGAAAACUCAAAAUUAAAGGUGUUAAAGUGGCUUUAAAGGAAAAGUGACAAAGGAUAAGGAAUAAUGAUUUAAGUUAUCCCUUUUUGGUGAUCUUGAUUUGGGUGUUUUGAAUGCGUUAUGUUUUUUAGGGGGGGCCGUAGCUCAGCUGGGAGAGCACCUGCUUUGCAAGCAGG
rnacentral:misc_RNA from 1 species